rnacentral:rRNA from 1 species
UGGGGAAUUUUGGACAAUGGGCGAAAGCCUGAUCCAGCAAUGCCGCGUGUGUGAAGAAGGCCUUCGGGUUGUAAAGCACUUUUGUCCGGAAAGAAAUCCUUGGCUCUAAUACAGUCGGGGGAUGACGGUACCGGAAGAAUAAGCACCGGCUAACUACGUGCCAGCAGCCGCGGUAAUACGUAGGGUGCAAGCGUUAAUCGGAAUUACUGGGCGUAAAGCGUGCGCAGGCGGUUUGCUAAGACCGAUGUGAAAUCCCCGGGCUCAACCUGGGGAACUGCAUUGGUGACUGGCAGGCUAGAGUAUGGCAGAGGGGGGUAGAAUUCCACGUGUAGCAGUGAAAUGCGUAGAGAUGUGGAGGAAUACCGAUGGCGAAGGCAGCCCCCUGGGGCCAAUACUGACGCUCAUGCACGAAAGCGUGGGGAGCAAACAGGAUUAGAUACCCUGGUAGUCCACGCCCUAAACGAUGUCAACUAGUUGUUGGGGAUUCAUUUCCUUAGUAACGUAGCUAACGCGUGAAGUUGACCGCCUGGGGAGUACGGUCGCAAGAUUAAAACUCAAAUGAAUUGACGGGGU